AUUUUGGCGAAAUCAUGCAUAUUCUCCCUCCCUUUUUUCCAUUCCCCCAUUAAUUUCAUAAAAAAUAUUUUUUUACCAAAAAUAAAAAUAAGAAAAGAAUAGCAGCAGCACGUCUCCGCAGUCCUCUACUUAGCCCUAAAAUAUCAGAAUCGACUGGUUCAUCUUCUCCAAAAACAAUUGCAGCAGCAUGUCUCUUUAGCGAAAAAUAAUUUCUUUGCAUCAGACACAAAGUUCACAAAAUACGAAGAAUAGAACAAAAUUUAAAGUCUCGCAUGCCGGUGGUAGCAAAAGUAAUGCAAGGAGAGGUCGUCCAAUUGUAGGCUUCUUUACCUUGAAGUUUAUUUGAGAAUCACACUAUUAUACAAAAUAAAAUGUGGUUCUAGUUACUUAUUUUUAUCUUUACUUGAUUAAUGAGAGGAGCAAAAAUUGGGAAGGCCUACGUGCCGAAGUGAAGUUGUAUUGUCAACUUUACAGAAAAAGAAUGGUAAUUAUGUGAAUGAAGAAGGAAAGAUUUUAGAUGAUAAAAUAUCGGAGCAUCUACUUGAAGAUCAAGAACAAGGUGCUACAUUAGGUGUUCCGUUGAAGAUAUUGGCUCAUCCAAUGAUGCCAUUGGAAAAGUGUAUGGAGCUGAACAUUCUGGUCGUGUGCGUGGUAUAGGUGGUAAUAUUUGUUUUUCUGUUGUUUUUGGGAUGCCUAGACAUUCAAUUAGACAUGAAAAUGUCGAUAGUCUCGGUAAUACGCCUCAUCAACGUGUUGAAGAGCUACAGAAACAUGUGAAAACUUUGGAAGAGAAACUGACUGGAUAUGAAGAGACUAAGGAAAAGCUUGAGGAAUCCAAGAAACGACUUGCAAAAAAUGAGAAUCACUUGGAAACUCUUCAUAGAUUUUUACAAGUCGAAUUUGGUAAUGAAUUGCCUAGUUUCAAUAUAGAUUCUCCUUAGUUUAUAUUGUUGCUUCAACCUUUUGCAUUUUGAUUACACCAGCAGUACUUUUGCUAUCUUUAUUGAUGAAACUCACAUUUGUUUUGAUAUUUAUGAUGAAUAGAUAAUUAAAGUAAUUUUUGUGUAUUU